CAUGCUCUCUCUGCAUUUAUCUCAUGUGUAAGAACAGUUUAUAACAGAAAUUUCUUGGUAUCCCAGAGAACAACAGCGAAAGAGAAUUGCAAAAACAAACAUAAACAAACAAUUGGAGAAAUAAACACAGAAAGAAAAACAUCAACGCAAAAGCCAAACAAAUGUGUGUUUGUCCCCCCUUUUAUUCGAAAGGGAUAGAGAAGAAUACAACGUAUACAUAGUGGUUGGCAGAGACGUAGUUUUUCACAUGGCCAACGUGUGCCAACAACACCACAAGCGACUGAAAUUCACAGGCUAAGUGAAUUUACGAUGAUGAUCCUAUUGCCGCUGGGUUUAUAUGCACUUGCUGCUUGACUGACGGACAGCCUGUGCCUGAAUGGGGCAAUUAAGAAAUGUGAUAAAAAUACGAUACAUAGACACAGAUGGAGAAGGAAAGGAAAAGAACAUUGCCAGAGAGUGUAAGCGUGUGUUACACUCUUUACAAAGAGUCCAUUUUAUUUAAAGACAUAAAUUUCUUUGCAUUGAAUGUGGAUAAUGUAUCUAUAGUAUCUGAAUAGCCUGAGAAAUUUUCUACGUUUUUAUAAUCACAAAGAUAAAGUAUCUACACUAUAAAAGUAACUUAAAACAUGUAUCUAUGUUAUUCUAAUAACCAGAAUAAUGUAUCUACGUUACCACAAUAUUCUAAAAUAAGUAUCUACAUCAAUCUAAUAAAAAGGAUAAUGCAUCUACAUCAUCAGAAUGACACGUAAAAUGUAUCUAAGUUGUUCUAAUAAUGUAUCUACAUGAUCUAAAUAGUCUUAGUAAUGUAUCUACGUUAUCCGGAUAAAAUGAAAAAUGUAUCUAAGUUGUUCUAAUAACAAAUAUAAUGUAUCUACGUGGUUUUGAUAACACGAAUAAUGUAUCUACGUUAUUCUAAUAACAAGGAUGAUGCAUCUACACUAUAACAAGCACAUGAAAAAUAUAUCUACCUUGUUCAAUUAACAAAGAAAAUGUAUCUACACUAUCAAAUCAACAUGAAAAUUGUAUAUGCGUUGUUUUAAUUACAACGACAAUGUAUCUACACUAUCUAACUAAAGUGCAAUAUGUAUCUACGUUAUCCUAAAAAUAAGAAUAAUGUAUCUACGUUAUCUCAAUAUUGUAAAAUAUGUAUCUAAGUUGUUCAAAAAACAAGAAUAAUAUAUCUGCACUAUUCAAAUAACGUGAAAAAUGUAUCUAUGAUGUUCUAAUAACAAGGAUAAUGUAUCUACAUCAUGUAAAUAAAGUCAAAAAUGUAUCUACGUUAUUCUAAAAACAAGUUUAAUGUAUCUACAUUGUCUA